GACGAACGCGGGCGGCGUGCCUAAUACAUGCAAGUAGAACGCUGAAGGAGGAGCUUGCUUCUAUGGAUGAGUUGCGAACGGGUGAGUAACGCGUAGGUAACCUGCCUGGUAGCGGGGGAUAACUAUUGGAAACGAUAGCUAAUACCGCAUAAGAGUAGAUGUUGCAUGACAUUUACUUAAAAGGUGCAAUUGCAUCACUACCAGAUGGACCUGCGUUGUAUUAGCUAGUUGGUGGGGUAACGGCUCACCAAGGCGACGAUACAUAGCCGACCUGAGAGGGUGAUCGGCCACACUGGGACUGAGACACGGCCCAGACUCCUACGGGAGGCAGCAGUAGGGAAUCUUCGGCAAUGGACGGAAGUCUGACCGAGCAACGCCGCGUGAGUGAAGAAGGUUUUCGGAUCGUAAAGCUCUGUUGUAAGAGAAGAACGAGUGUGAGAGUGGAAAGUUCACACUGUGACGGUAUCUUACCAGAAAGGGACGGCUAACUACGUGCCAGCAGCCGCGGUAAUACGUAGGUCCCGAGCGUUGUCCGGAUUUAUUGGGCGUAAAGCGAGCGCAGGCGGUUAGAUAAGUCUGAAGUUAAAGGCUGUGGCUUAACCAUAGUACGCUUUGGAAACUGUUUAACUUGAGUGCAAGAGGGGAGAGUGGAAUUCCAUGUGUAGCGGUGAAAUGCGUAGAUAUAUGGAGGAACACCGGUGGCGAAAGCGGCUCUCUGGCUUGUAACUGACGCUGAGGCUCGAAAGCGUGGGGAGCAAACAGG
rnacentral:rRNA from 1 species